CGGCUCAGUAACACGUGGACAACCUACCCUAUGGAGGGGGAUAACCCCGGGAAACUGGGGAUAAUACCCCAUAGACUAUAGAUGCUGGAAUGCUUUGUAGUUGAAAGGUCCGCCGCCAUAGGAUGGGUCUGCGGCCGAUUAGGUUGUUGUUGGGGUAACGGCCCAACAAGCCUGUAAUCGGUACGGGUUGUGGGAGCAAGAGCCCGGAGAUGGAUUCUGAGACACGAAUCCAGGCCCUACGGGGCGCAGCAGGCGCGAAAACUUUACAAUGCGGGAAACCGUGAUAAGGGAACUCCGAGUGCCCGUAAAAUCGGGCUGUCCAUCUGUUUAAAUAACAGGUGAAGAAAGGGCCGGGCAAGACCGGUGCCAGCCGCCGCGGUAAUACCGGCGGCUCGAGUGGUGGCCACUAUUACUGGGCUUAAAGCGUUCGUAGCUGGUCUGUUAAGUCUCUGGGGAAAUCUACUGGCUUAACCAAUAGGCGUCUCAGGGAUACUGGCAGACUAGGGACCGGGAGAGGUGAGAGGUACUCCAGGGGUAGGAGUGAAAUCCUGUAAUCCUUGGGGGACCACCUGUGGCGAAGGCGUCUCACCAGAACGGCUCCGACAGUG
rnacentral:rRNA from 1 species